rnacentral:lncRNA from 1 species
GGGUGCCUCUUCCUUACUAGUUUCUAACACUAGUAGCAAUAUAUAGCAAUGAUACAUUGCUAGAUGUCAAUCUUGACUUAUAGGUUUGAUCAAAUUAAAGAGUUUAAUUUGAUCACCAAUUAAAAAAGAUUCUAAUUGUUGAACUCGGGUUAGCUUGAUUAGACCUAAAUCGGUUAGAUUGGAAUCUAAUCAAAUUCGAUCAACUUACACUCAAACCUACUACUGACUAGAUGUAGAACCAAAUGGGUCACACACAUAUGCAAAUUGGCC